rnacentral:rRNA from 1 species
GAUGAACGCUGGCGGCGUGCCUAAUACAUGCAAGUCGAGCGAACAUAUAAGGAGCUUGCUCCUUUGACGUUAGCGGCGGACGGGUGAGUAACACUUGGGUAACCUACCUAUAAGACUUGAAUAACUCCGGGAAACCGGGGCUAAUGUCGGAUAACAUUUAGAACCGCAUGGUUCUAAAGUGAAAGAUGGUUUUGCUAUCACUUAUAGAUGGACCCGCGCCGUAUUAGCUAGUUGGUAAGGUAACGGCUUACUAAGGCAACGAUACGUAGCCGACCUGAGAGGGUGAUCGGCCACACUGGGACUGAGACACGGUCAAGACUCAUACGGGAGGCAGCAGUAGGGAAUCUUCCGCAAUGGGCGAAAGCCUGACAGAGAAACGCCGCGUGAGUGAUGAAGGUCUUCGGAUCGUAAAACUCUGUUAUUAGGGAAGAACAAAUGUGUAAGUAACUGUGCACGUCUUGACGGUACCUAAUCAGAAAGCAACGGCUAACUACGUG